UACGGGGGGAGCAAGCGUUGUUCGGAUUUACUGGGCGUAAAGGGCGCGUAGGCGGUCGUGACAAGUCACUUGUGAAAUCUCCGGGCUUAACUCGGAACGGUCAAGUGAUACUGUCGGACUAGAGUACAGAAGGGGCAACUGGAAUUCUCGGUGUAGCGGUGAAAUGCGUAGAUAUCGAGAGGAACACCUGCGGCGAAGGCGGGUUGCUGGGCUGAAUACUGACGCUGAGGCGCGAAAGCCCAGGGGGAGCGAAACGGGG
rnacentral:rRNA from 1 species